rnacentral:rRNA from 1 species
UGCGUAGGUGGCGCCGUCAGUGGGGUGUGAAAUUUCGGAGCUUAACUCCGAAACUGCAUUCCAUACUGCGGUGCUUGAGGACUGGAGAGGAGACUGGAAUUCAUGGUGUAGCAGCGAAAUGCGUAGAGAUCAUGAGGAAGACCAGUGGCGAAGGCGGGUCUCUGGACAGUUCCUGACACUGAGGCACGAAGGCUAGGGGAGCGAACG